UGGUUCUGGCAUCGAUGAAGAACGCAGCGAAAUGCGAUAAGUAAUGCGAAUUGCAGAAUUCCGUGAGUCAUCGAAUCUUUGAACGCACAUUGCGCCCUUUGGUAUUCCGAAGGGCAUGCCUGUUCGAGCGUCAUUACCAACCCUCAAGCCAUGCUUGUUGUUGGAUUAGAGGUGUUCGUCACCUUUAUCCCAAAGACGAUGACGGUGUUUUAGGGACCCUCGGUACAAUGAGCUUUAACUAGCACGUAUCGUAGUCGACCCUAGAACCCGGUCUUCCUCUUAUAUUUCUCAGGUUGACCUCGGAUCAGGUAGGAUUACCCGCUGA
rnacentral:misc_RNA from 1 species